AACCUGCGUACCCGGCAGAGUUACUUCUUUGCAGUGGUCUGGAAUGCAGGAUUUUGUUACUGACAGCAUGGGGUGAGUGAUUACGCUGAUUGGCCAACUCCAAACACAGGUGGAAAGCAAUCAGCAGUUCCGGUGGCAGUCCAUAAAGGAAGACUCCUGAGAAGUGAAAGGUGUGUGUUCUGCGCUGCGGGCUGGUGGCCAGUCUUCCUGUACGUGAGCUUUAGCUGGCUGCUAGCAAAACUGGAGUUUUGUAAGGUGGAGGUUGAGGACCUUAGUAAGUUGGGGUACCCUGUACAUUUUUGCACGUAGGUAUACCUUUGUAUAGACACACCAGGUGUAGUGGUUGUGGCCUCCUGUGUAACGUUUUCCUUUAG
ensembl:lncRNA